rnacentral:tRNA from 1 species
UAUAAAGUGCCUGAUUAAAGGAUUAUUCUGAUAGGAUAAAUUAUGUAAUUUUUUACCUUUAUUA